rnacentral:rRNA from 1 species
UACGGGGGGGGUAAGCGUUGUCCGGAAUUAUUGGGCGUAAAGAGCUCGUAGGCGGUUUGUCGCGUCUGCUGUGAAAAUCCAGGGCUUAACCCUGGACCUGCAGUGGGUACGGGCAGACUGGAGUGCGGUAGGGGAGAUCGGAAUUCCUGGUGUAGCGGUGAAAUGCGCAGAUAUCAGGAGGAACACCGGUGACGAAGGCGGAUCUCUGGGCCGUAACUGACGCUGAGGAGCGAAAGCAUGGGGAGCGAACAGG